UGGGUGAUGAGUGCACCAAAAUCUCAGAAA
rnacentral:piRNA from 1 species